rnacentral:rRNA from 1 species
GAAACCUAAAAGAUCGAAUGGGGAGAUUCAUCGUCAGCGUAUUUAGUAUAUAUGCAAGUUACGAUAUUAUUAAUUAUCCUUGUGGUAAUUUUUGUACGUGCUUGUAUUAUUUUAUUGCUGAAUAUCGUCGGCGUGCACUUCUCCCCUAGUAGAACGUCGCGACCCGUUAAGUGUCGAUCUACGGCCCAGAUGGUAGUCUUUGAUAUAAUUUAUUUAAUGUUGAAGACCACUGGUGUUUCCUGAUCGGCUGCUUGACGGUAUAUAAUAUGGUAUUGAGUCGCAAAAUUUUUUUUUGCGUUAAACUCACCACAAGCACGAUUAGUUAUCUGGUAGUGCGGACCUAGUGCCGUCGCUGGAGCUUGUCUGCUGUUAGUUGGUGAUGUUCUUUAACUGGCUCAAAUAUAAAAUACCGGUCAGCGAUGCUACUGCUUUGGUACUUUCAG